rnacentral:rRNA from 1 species
AUUGAACGCUGGCGGCAUGCCUUACACAUGCAAGUCGAACGGUAACAGGCCGCAAGGUGCUGACGAGUGGCGAACGGGUGAGUAAUGCAUCGGAACGUGCCCAGUCGUGGGGGAUAACGCAGCGAAAGCUGCGCUAAUACCGCAUACGAUCUAGGGAUGAAAGCGGGGGACCGUAAGGCCUCGCGCGAUUGGAGCGGCCGAUGUCAGAUUAGGUAGUUGGUGAGGUAAAGGCUCACCAAGCCGACGAUCUGUAGCUGGUCUGAGAGGACGACCAGCCACACUGGGACUGAGACACGGCCCAGACUCCUACGGGAGGCAGCAGUGGGGAAUUUUGGACAAUGGGGGCAACCCUGAUCCAGCAAUGCCGCGUGCAGGAAGAAGGCCUUCGGGUUGUAAACUGCUUUUGUACGGAACGAAACGGCUCUGGUUAAUACCUGGGGCUAAUGACGGUACCAUAAGAAUAAGCACCGGCUAACUACGUGCCAGCAGCCGCAGUAACAC